CAAAGAUUAAGCCAUGCAUGUCUAAGCACACGCCUUAAAACGGUGAAGCCGCGAAUGGCUCGGUAUAACAGCUACGGUUUAUUAGAUUUUAGUUAUCUACUUGGAUAACUGUGGUAAUUCUAGAGCUAAUACAUGCACGAAAGCUCNGACCUUACGGGAAGAGCGCACUUAUUAGAUCAAAACCAAUCGGACUCCGGUUCGUGUUUUGGUGACUCUGAAUAACUUAGUUGAUCGCACAGUCUCGUACUGGCGACGUAUCUUUCAAAUGUCUGCCUUAUCAACUUUCGAUGGUAGGUUAUAUGCCUACCAUGGUUAUAACGGGUAACGGAGAAUAAGGGUUCGACUCCGGAGAGGGAGCCUGAGAAAUGGCUACCACAUCCAAGGAAGGCAGCAGGCGCGCAAAUUACCCAAUCCCAGUACGGGGAGGUAGUGACGAAAAAUAACGAGAUAGUCCACUUUGUGGCCUGUCAUCGGAAUGGGUACAAUCUAAAUCCU
rnacentral:rRNA from 1 species